rnacentral:tRNA from 1 species
ACAAAGCUAAAGCGAGUGCGGAAAGGGAUGAAAACACAGAAGGA